AUGGAAAGCGAGUCCGGUAUGGGGACGGAGGGGGAAUCCGGCAAGGAGCAGGAUUUGCUGUUGGAUCUGGGGAGGAAACUCGGGAAGAUGGAAAUCGAGUUAGGGAAGUGGACGGAGCAGGCUUCCGGCAAGGAGCAGGAGACGGUGCGGGAUCUGAAGAAGAGGCACAGGAAACUCAGUAAGAAUCGUAGGUACCUCUUGCAAGAUAUCGUCUCAGGGAAGUUUAAGGAAUUGUAUUCCGAUUCCGGCCGCAACAGGGUAAUGGGGAUUUUCAGGGAAGCCGAGGAGCUGGACAAGGAGUUGAUGAUUAUUAAGGAGAAGGAGAAGGAGAAGGAGAAGCAGGAGACGGUGGUGGAUUCCGGCGAGGAGGAGAUGGGCAGGGAUUCGGCGCAGCACCAGUCCCUGAUGGAGGAGAUCAUAUCCGUGGAGAGGGAGCGCAAAGACCUGCUUGGCUCACUUACUCCUACCUUUUCUCUCUGGAAAGAGAUUGAUUCUCAAACAACCUGGACGAUCGCCACAACGGAGUCUGCUACUUUUUCUAGGGACAACAAUGAGAAUCCACUUGCAGACUACUUCAACCUGAUCCUCCAAGGUAUGGAGGACCUGGGUCAUCGGAUGCUUUCUACAUUAUAUUUUCUCAACAAAUCCGAUGACUCCGUCUGCUCCUACAAGGCCACCGAAUUGUGCAAUGCAGCAACCAAACUGAAUAUGCACAUCAAGGGAUUCAGCAUGAAGCCGGAGCCAGAGCCAGAGCCAGAGCCAGAGCCAGAGGAGCAGCCGGGGCAGAUCGAUUUGUCGAGUCUUUUCAGAAAAUAUUGUCGAUUUCCUGAUAAUUACAACAACACCUUGGCCCGGUUAGAUAUGGAGGAGCAUGAGGAGAACAAAUGUGAGGAUGUUCAUGUGAAGAAGACCAAGGAAGAGGAGGACAAGGAGAAGGACGUAUCCUCAAAGGAGUAUCUCAAGAAAAGGAUGGACAUCGAGCAACAAUUUUUAGCCAAUCAUCGAAAAUCCUGGGAAAAUGUGUGGGGCAGCAGGAUUGGACGGUGCGGUGGAUUUAUGGAUACAACCAUAUUGAGCCCUAUGCAAUUUACACAUCACACACCUGGUAGCAUCUUUUCCCCUGCUGCCAUCACCGGUAGUACCUUGCAAAUCUAUUCAAUCAAGAUACAGAGUAUAAAAGGCUUGAACUGGCCACUCAGAGUGUAUGGCGAGGUUGCUGCUCGAGACACUGUGGACCGCAACCGCAACAUUCUAUUUUCUCGGUCAAGGUUUGACUACCAAGAACUCAAUGGAUGUACAUGUUACCGAAGGGGAUUGGCCUUUUAA
rnacentral:rRNA from 1 species